GACGAACGCUGGCGGCGUGCUUAACACAUGCAAGUCGAGCGGUAAGGCCCUUUCGGGGGUACACGAGCGGCGAACGGGUGAGUAACACGUGGGUGACCUGCCCUCAGCUCUGGGAUAAGCCUGGGAAACCGGGUCUAAUACUGGAUAUGACUCCAUGACGCAUGUUGGUGGGGUGGAAAGCCUUGUGCGGACUGAGGAUGGGCCCGCGGCCUAUCAGCUUGGUUGGUGGGGUGANGGCCUACCAAGGCGACGACGGGUAGCCGGCCUGAGAGGGCGACCGGCCA
rnacentral:rRNA from 1 species